UUGUUAGCCAUUUAUAAAUUUUUAUGUGUGGCUAUAGCAAAACAAAAAAUGUGGCUAAAAAUUAUCAUCACAGUUAAUUAGCUUAUACAUGACCAUCUUUGCCCACAAAAUACACCAAAAAUUUUCAAUUCCCUACUCACCCCCUCCAUCAGGUUCAUCCUUUUCAAUUCCCUAUCUCCCCUAUUGAAUAGUCCUAAUCUGAAAUUAAGAACCUUAGUUUAUGGAGGAAGACGAUGUCUUAUGUAGAAUCUGAGACCAGCGAUUCAGGAUGAUUUGUCUUGCUAAGAAAUCUGAAGACGGAGACGAUGGAUUAUGUACAUCUGACAGUGAUGAAUCCUGUAAAGAGAACGACGCUUCAUUACCAGUUGUGUGUCCGUAGAAAUUGCAGAACUAGGAUGCUCUUUGAGGUACACCGUUAUUGUGUAGAGGAAAUCUUCGGGUGUAAAGGCAAUCACUACUUCUUUGUGUAUCCCAAUCAAAAUGAACACCUGAUUUGCCGCCUCUAGUGCUCGCGAAUGGUUUGUACCAUGGGGAUCAAACUCGUGUUUCUGUGGAGUAUGAAGUGCCAGAAGGGAUUGCAAAGUUGCCACCAGAUAUUAAAUCACCGAUAAUAUGGCUGCCUGAACAUUUGGAAGAUGGAGAUGGCGAUUCUGUACCCCUAGAAGCGGACCAUAUACUUGUUAAAGUUUCAUGUGGCUAUACAUAAUAGUUAGCCACACUUUCAUCAGUUUUUUUUUUUGUUUUUGUUUUUUUAUUUUUGGCGAAACCAUAACAAAUGUCAUGGAAAAACAAACUAUGUGUGACCAAAUGUUAGAUAAUAGGCACACUUAAAAUUACAAAAUUUCAUGUGUCUAUACAUAAC